UACAGAGGUGGCAAGCGUUGUUCGGAAUUACUGGGCGUAAAGGGCUCGUAGGCGGCCAACUAAGUCAGACGUGAAAUCCCUCAGCUUAACUGGGGAACUGCGUCUGAUACUGGAUGGCUUGGAUUUGGGAGAGGGAUGCGGAAUUCCAGGUGUAGCGGUGAAAUGCGUAGAGAUCCGGAAGAACACCGGUGGCGAAGGCGGCCUGCUGGGCAGUUGCUGACACUGAGGCGCGACAGCGUGGGGAGCAAACAGG
rnacentral:rRNA from 1 species